UACGAAGGGGGCUAGCGUUGUUCGGAAUUACUGGGCGUAAAGCGCACGUAGGCUGACACUUAAGUGAGGGGUGAAAUCCCGAGGCUCAACCUCGGAACUGCCUUUCAUACUGGGUGUCUCGAGUCCGGAAGAGGUUAGUGGAAUUCCCAGUGUAGAGGUGAAAUUCGUAGAUAUUAGGAAGAACACCAGUGGCGAAGGCGGCUCACUGGUCCGGUACUGACGCUGAGGAGCGAAAGCGUGGAGAGCAAACAGG
rnacentral:rRNA from 1 species